GACGAACGCUGGCGGCGUGCUUAACACAUGCAAGUCGAACGGAAAGGCCCUGCUUGCAGGGUACUCGAGUGGCGAACGGGUGAGUAACACGUGGGUGAUCUGCCCUGCACUUCGGGAUAAGCCUGGGAAACUGGGUCUAAUACCGGAUAGGAGCCAUUUUUAGUGUGAUGGUUGGAAAGUUUUUUCGGUGUAGGAUGAGCUCGCGGCCUAUCAGCUUGUUGGUGGGGUAAUGGCCUACCAAGGCGGCGACGGGUAGCCGGCCUGAGAGGGUGGACGGCCACAGUGGGACUGAGAUACGGCCCAGACUCCUACGGGAGGCAGCAGGGGGGAAUAUUGAACAAUGGGCGCAAGCCUGAUGCAGCGACGCCGCGUGGGGGAUGACGGCCUUCGGGUUGUAAACUCCUUUCGCUAGGGACGAAGCUUUUUGUGACGGUACCUAGAUAAGAAGCACCGGCUAACUACGUG
rnacentral:rRNA from 1 species